CUGCCGUGGGCGCUGGAGAACUGAGGGGGGCUGCUCCUAGUACGAGAGGACCGGAGUGGACGCAUCACUGGUGUUCGGGUUGUCAUGCCAAUGGCACUGCCCGGUAGCUAAAUGCGGAAGAGAUAAGUGCUGAAAGCAUCUAAGCACGAAACUUGCCCCGAGAUGAGUUCUCCCUGAGACUUAGAGUCUCCUGAAGGAACGUUGAAGACGACGACGUUGAUAGGCCGGGUGUGUAAGCGCAGCGAUGCGUUGAGCUAACCGGUACUAAUGAACCGUGAGGCUUAACCUUACAACGCCGAAG
rnacentral:rRNA from 1 species